UUUAUCGGAGAGUUUGAUCCUGGCUCAGGACGAACGCUGGCGGCGUGCCUAAUACAUGCAAGUCGAGCGGACAGAUGGGAGCUUGCUCCCUGAUGUUAGCGGCGGACGGGUGAGUAACACGUGGGUAACCUGCCUGUAAGACUGGGAUAACUCCGGGAAACCGGGGCUAAUACCGGAUGGUUGUCUGAACCGCAUGGUUCAGACAUAAAAGGUGGCUUCGGCUACCACUUACAGAUGGACCCGCGGCGCAUUAGCUAGUUGGUGAGGUAACGGCUCACCAAGGCGACGAUGC
rnacentral:rRNA from 1 species